rnacentral:rRNA from 1 species
AGUAGUUAUAUGCUUGUUUCAAAGAUUAAUCCAUGCACGUGUAAGUACACGCUUUAGUAUAGUGAAACUGCGAAUGGCUCAUUAAAUCAUAUGUGAUUUCUUAGAUCGUUGCUUUCCUUCGGGAAAGUCUGGAUAACUGUGGCAAUUCUAGAGCUAAUACAUGCAACCAAGCUCCAACCUUCGUGGGACGAGCGCUCUUAUUAGACCGAGGCCAACCUGCUGGGCAACUGGCAGUUAGCUGUGGUGACUCUGAAUAAACACAGUUGAUCGCAYGACUUUACGUCGGCGACGUAUCUUUCAAGCGUAUGCCCUAUCAGCUGUCGACGGUAGGGUAGUGGCCUACCGUGGCAUCAACGGGUAACGGGGGAUCAGGGUCCGAUCCCGGAGAGUAAGCCUGAGAGACGGCUUACACAUCUAAGGAAGRCAGCAGGCGCGCAAAUUACCCAAUGGGGACACCCUGAGGUAGUGACAAGAAAUAACAAUACGCGACUCUUUCGAGGCCGCGUAAUUGGAAUGAGCACAGUCUAAAUCCUUUAGCGAGGAUCAAUUGGAGGGCAAGUCUGGUGCCAGCAGCCGCGGUAAUUCCAGCUCCAAUAGCGUAUAUUAAAGUUGCUGCAGUUAAAAAGGCACUGCCUUGAUGGCCUCUACACACUGGCUUGAGGUCGUGCAGGCUGGGAAACUGGCAGCACGUUCCAGAGCCCCGGGUGUCCUUUAUUGGGUGCCCGUGGGUGGCCUUUGCGUUUACUUUGAAGAAAUUAGAGUGUUCAAAGCGGGCUAUCUAUAGCUCGGAUACUCGUACAUGGAAUAAUGGAAUAGGACCCUGGGUCAUUUCCGUUGGUCUAUGGCCAUUGGGUAAUGAUUAAAAGGGACUGCCGGGGGCAUUGGUAUGGUGGGGGGAGAGGUGAAAUUCCGUGAUCCUCGCCAGACCAACUACAGCGAAAGCAUUUGCCAAGAAUGUCUUCAUUAAUCAAGAACGAAAGUCAGAGGUUCGAAGACGAUCAGAUACCGUCGUAGUUCUGACCAUAAACGAUGCCAGCUUGGAAGUGGCGAUGGUUGUAUUUCAUGACCCCGCCACGGCCCGUCGGGAAACCAUAAGCGUUUGGGUUCCGGGGGAAGUAUGGUUGCAAAGCUGAAACUUAAAGGAAUUGACGGAAGGGCACCACCAGGAGUGGAGCCUGCGGCUUAAUUUGACUCAACACGGGAAAACUCACCCGGCCCGGACACUGCAAGGAUUGACAGAUUGAGAGCUCUUUCUCGAUUCGGUGGAUGGUGGUGCAUGGCCGUUCUUAGUUGGUGGAGUGAUUUGUCUGGUUAAUUCCGAUAACGAACGAGACUCUAGCCUACUAACUAGUUCGCCGAUCUACUUCACGUGGGUUGGUAAUAAACUUCUUA